CUGUUACAGUCUACUAAUCAGAUUAGAGAUACCAAAAGAGGCAUGAACAACUCUAAAGUGCUCUAAAGUCUUUGUGCUGCACAUGACACGUUCAUAUAAAU